rnacentral:RNase_P_RNA from 2 species
CAAGGAGAUUGAAGGGUUUACCCGCUCAGGCGGGAGGAAAGUCCGGACCACAAAAAGCAAGGAACUCAAAUAGGUAGAGACUGCCGUAAGGUAGUGGCUAUGCUACAGAGACGAGUAGGCGCAAGCCGAGAUGAAACGAGCAUCCUUCCUGUGGAAAUCUCAAAUCGAGGCGCUUGAUCUAGCUUUUGAAAGCCUCAGGUAGAGAGAAUAGAUAGAUGGCCCAUAAACAGAAUCCGGCUUAACAAUCUCUUUG